CCUAAUAUGCUCCAACCCUAAUCCUAUGCUAUUUUUGUAAAACAGAACCCUUGUGCCUCCUUGAGCAGUCGCACUCUCUGCUAGGGUUUGCCUUCUCGUCGCUUCCAAGUCCGCUCAAGCUGUUCCUACUCCACCUCCUAAGCGUACUCCUUGUUCUGUUGAGUUUGUGUCUACCAUCAAGGUCUUGCUCUAGCCUAUUCCAGUGUGGUAGGGCGUAAUCCUGUGACUCAUGUAGUGAGAGAUUUUGGUGGCGCCUCAUCUGUUGGACGUAAUUCCACGGACCCUCUUAAUGGGAGCUCCUGGUGGUACCUCGACGAAAGGACGUAAUUCCACGGGGGUCGUGGUGGUGCGUCAGGGUCAGGGUGUAAUUCCACGAAGGCCACGUGGUGGUGCCUCCUGUAAGGGUAUAAUUCCGUGAAGGCCUCGCGGUGACGCCUCAUUGCUAGGACGUAAUUCCACUGCCACGUGGUGAUGCCUCAGUCACGUAUCCGGAUAGUCAAGUCUUGGAGUCUCAUAUAUUUUUGAUAGCUCUGGUGUGAUGCCUGUUAUUUAUAUUUGGCUUUGAAGUUACAUGUGAACUGUUAUAAUAUGAGAUUUCUUUACACUAGCUUACUUUGUUGCUUGCUUGUAUGUUGUGUGUGGUCUUCUCUAUUGCGAUGAUCAUCAAUCUUGUUGAUGUGAGCAGAUGUGAAAACCCCUGACAGUGGUAAUUAUGGUAGGGUUGAUGCAGCUUGAUGGAUUGGAUGGGUGUUGGGCCAUUGUGGGGCCCAACAAAUGAAGGAUUUUAUUAAUCAUGCUUCUCGUUUCCUAACAAGACCUAGUUUAAUUACUUGUUUUCUUUUAGUGUUUUCUGUUUGGGCCGUGUGGAGCUCUUUCCUUAUAAUCUGGGUAUGUCUAAUGUAUGGAAUACUCUUAUACCCUAAACU